rnacentral:lncRNA from 1 species
AACUGGAUGAUGGGGUUGGUUUCCCCCAUGCUAUUCUUGUGAUAGUAAGUGAGUUCUCAUGAGAUCUGAUGGUUUUAUAAGGGGUUCUUCCCCUUUGCACCUCAUUCUUCUCUUUGGCACAACCGUAUGAAGAAGACACGUUUUAUCCGUGGACCCAAAACUCCGGUGCCGGUCACGGACUGGGAAGGCAGCCUUCCCUCGGUGUUUAAUCAUUGCAGGGACGCCUCUCUGAUUAUACACUCAUGUUUCAAGGAUCUGGCAUGCCCUUCAUAGUAUAAAUAAUAUUUAGAGAAUAAAAUAUUGGUUUUUAAGAACUUUUU